rnacentral:rRNA from 1 species
CAAUAGCGUAUAUUAAAGUUGUUGCGGUUAAAAAGCUCGUAGUUGGAUUUCUGUGGUAGGCAGCCGGUCCACACUAUGUGUGAGUAUCUGGUUCGGCUACUGCAUCCUCCUGAGGAACGUUGGUGCGCUUCACUGCGUGGCACGGUAUUCAGGACUUUUACUUUGAGGAAAUUAGAGUGUUCACGGCAGGCGUUUGCCCUGAAUAUAUUAGCAUGGAAUAAUGAUAUAGGAUCCACGUCCUAUUUUGUUGGUUUCUAGGACGAGGAUAAUGAUUAAUAGGGAUAAUUGGGGGCGAUUCGUAUUAACACGUCAGAGGUGGAAUUCUUGGAUUGUGUUACGACGAACUACUGCGAAAGCAUUUGCCAAGGAUGUUUUUCAUUUAGUACUACGAAACGGAAAACGUUAAAGGGGUAAGGGGUACGUACGGAAACGGAACGUACUACGAAGUAACCGUUACCCUAGUACGUACGUAGGACCCUAAGGGCCCAAACGGACCAACGGGGAACUAAGGGGGGAUA